GCGGCGAACGGGUGAGUAACACGUGAGAAACCUGCCCCGGACUCUGGGAUAACACGAGGAAACUCGUGCUAAUACCGGAUACCCCCUACUGAUCGCAUGGUCGGUAGAGGAAAGAUUUAUCGCUUCGGGAGGGGUUCGCGGCCUAUCAGCUAGUUGGUGAGGUAACGGCUCACCAAGGCAUCGACGGGUAGCUGGUCUGAGAGGAUGAUCAGCCACACUGGGACUGAGACACGGCCCAGACUCC
rnacentral:rRNA from 1 species